GACGUAGGAGGCGAGCGUUAUCCGGAUUCACUGGGCGUAAAGCGCAUGUAGGCGGUCGGACAAGUCCUUACUGAAAGCCCCUGGCUCAACUGGGGGAGGCGUGAGGAGACUGUACGACUGGAGGGCAGGAGAGGUCGGUGGAACUCCCGGUGUAGCGGUGGAAUGCGUAGAGAUCGGCAGGAACACCAAGGGCGAAAGCAGCAGACUGGCCCGUGGCUGACGCUCAGGGACGAAAGCGUGGGGAGCGAACUGG
rnacentral:rRNA from 1 species